rnacentral:rRNA from 1 species
GAAACAGGUGCUAAUACCGCAUAACAGUUUAUGCCGCAUGGCAUAAGAGUGAAAGGCGCUUUCGGGUGUCGCUGAUGGAUGGACCCGCGGUGCAUUAGCUAGUUGGUGAGGUAACGGCUCACCAAGGCCACGAUGCAUAGCCGACCUGAGAGGGUGAUCGGCCACACUGGGACUGAGACACGGCCCAGACUCCUACGGGAGGCAGCAGUAGGGAAUCUUCGGCAAUGGACGAAAGUCUGACCGAGCAACGCCGCGUGAGUGAAGAAGGUUUUCGGAUCGUAAAACUCUGUUGUUAGAGAAGAACAAGGACGUUAGUAACUGAACGUCCCCUGACGGUAUCUAACCAGAAAGCCACGGCUAACUACGUGCCAGCAGCCGCGGUAAUACGUAGGUGGCAAGCGUUGUCCGGAUUUAUUGGGCGUAAAGCGAGCGCAGGCGGUUUCUUAAGUCUGAUGUGAAAGCCCCCGGCUCAACCGGGGAGGGUCAUUGGAAACUGGGAGACUUGAGUGCAGAAGAGGAGAGUGGAAUUCCAUGUGUAGCGGUGAAAUGCGUAGAUAUAUGGAGGAACACCAGUGGCGAAGGCGGCUCUCUGGUCUGUAACUGACGCUGAGGCUCGAAAGCGUGGGGAGCAGACAGGAUUAGAUACCCUGGUAGUCCACGCCGUAAACGAUGAGUGCUAAGUGUUGGAGGGUUUCCGCCCUUCAGUGCUGCAGCAAACGCAUUAAGCACUCCGCCUGGGGAGUACGACCGCAAGGUUGAAACUCAAAGGAAUUGACGGGGGCCCGCACAAGCGGUGGAGCAUGUGGUUUAAUUCGAAGCAACGCGAAGAACCUUACCAGGUCUUGACAUCCUUUGACCACUCUAGAGAUAGAGCUUUCCCUUCGGGGACAAAGUGACAGGUGGUGCAUGGUUGUCGUCAGCUCGUGUCGUGAGAUGUUGGGUUAAGUCCCGCAACGAGCGCAACCCUUAUUGUUAGUUGCCAUCAUUUAGUUGGGCACUCUAGCGAGACUGCCGGUGACAAACCGGAGGAAGGUGGGGAUGACGUCAAAUCAUCAUGCCCCUUAUGACCUGGGCUACACACGUGCUACAAUGGGAAGUACAACGAGUCGCUAGACCGCGAGGUCAUGCAAAUCUCUUAAAGCUUCUCUCAGUUCGGAUUGCAGGCUGCAACUCGCCUGCAUGAAGCCGGAAUCGCUAGUAAUCGCGGAUCAGCACGCCGCGGUGAAUACGUUCCCGGGCCU